rnacentral:rRNA from 1 species
UACGUAGGGUGCAAGCGUUGUCCGGAUUUAUUGGGCGUAAAGAGCUCGUAGGCGGUCUGUCGCGUCGGAUGUGAAAACCCAGGGCUCAACCCUGGGCCUGCAUUCGAUACGGGCAGACUUGAGUUCGGCAGGGGAGACUGGAAUUCCUGGUGUAGCGGUGAAAUGCGCAGAUAUCAGGAGGAACACCGGUGGCGAAGGCGAGUCUCUGGGCCGACACUGACGCUGAGGAGCGAAAGCGUGGGGAGCAAACAGG